AUAUAAGGUCUAGCCUGCCCACUGAUUUUAAUUAAAGGGCCGCGGUAUAUUAACCGUGCGAAGGUAGCAUAGUCAAUAGUCCUUUAAUUGGGGGCUUGAAUGAAUGGUUGGACGUGAAGAGGGCUGUCUCGUUAAGAUAAGUUUGAAAUUAACUUUUGUGUGAAAAGGCAUUAAUGGGUUAGGGGGACGAUAAGACCCUAUAAAACUUUAUAGGUGAUUUUAAUUCUUUGAUUUUAGGGUAAGGAGGGCUUAAGUAAACCUAUUACGCUGGGGCGGCGGAAAUAAAAUUUGUAACUGUUUUUAAAUUUGAAUAGCUAUAGCUAGAGUUUGACCCUAAAUUUUGGUUUAUAAGUGUUAGUUACUUUAGGGAUAACAGCGUUAUUUCUUCUGAGAGUCCAUAUCGACGGAGACAUUUGCGACCUCGAUGUUGAAUUAAAGCUUUCUCCGGGAGUAGAAGUUCGGAGGACAGGUCUGUUCGACCUUUAAAGCUUUACAUGAUUUG
rnacentral:rRNA from 1 species